rnacentral:rRNA from 1 species
UACGUAGGGUGCAAGCGUUGUCCGGAAUUAUUGGGCGUAAAGAGCUCGUAGGCGGCUUGUUGCGUCGGCUGUGAAAACCCGCAGCUCAACUGUGGGCUUGCAGCUGAUACGGGCAGGCUUGAGUUCGGUAGGGGAGACUGGAAUUCCUGGUGUAGCGGUGAAAUGCGCAGAUAUCAGGAGGAACACCGGUGGCGAAGGCGGGUCUCUGGGCCGAUACUGACGCUGAGGAGCGAAAGCGUGGGGAGCGAACAGG